AAGAAAAGGCAUGCACAGGCACUGGUCUGGUGCACUUCGGUGACCCAGAACACAGGUACGGAUGGCCAAGCUUUCAGCUCAGCUCACUGAUGCUAAUUUUGGUAGCUUCACUGCUCCUGCUCCAUUAUAGCCUAUGUGCUGACCAAUAUUUUUGCAGCGUACGAGUAUGUGAUAUUAAACAAAUCAUGUGCAUACAUUUCGUGAUAAAUACGUGCCUAAACGGGGACGUUCUGCCAUUCGCACUAAUACGAUUUUUCUAAACAUAAUAUGAACCGGAGGCACCGAGGGAUGAUUUACUGAUUAUAUAUUCCUGGCUAUUUUGCAGAUUGCUGCUUCUGGCGGGUUGUGGUUAGUAAAAAAAGCGUGACAAGGAUCUGGUUAGUAGGUUGAUCACAAGUUGUUGCCCGUUGUCACUGCCCAACGAAGCGUCACGGCGCUGCGCUCUCGAGUGAACUAUAGCUUGUUGGCCUUCCCGGCUUCCCCUGC
rnacentral:lncRNA from 1 species